AGCUGAGGGGAGGAGAUGUGUGGGAGGUUACUAUUGUCGGAUUGGGUACUGUAAUAAUUGAUGAAAGUCCCUCCCUUGCAUGGGAGCAUGCUUUAUAAGGCCACUGUGGAAUAAAGGUUUUCAGUUCUGCUCCUGAUGCUGUGUGUCGUCCAGUUAUUGGGAUUGCUGUUGGGAUACUGUUGGAUUAUUUUACCUGCUGGAAACCUUGCCUUGUGGAUCUAUAAUUACUUGUUCCUGCGCCUCACUGGGAUCUUAAGCGGAGAUAAUCU